rnacentral:ncRNA from 2 species
UAAUAUCAGCCUCAAGCUGGUGCUAUCUAGCAAUCUAGAUGGCUGAAAUGGGAAUCUGGUGGAACUCCAGAACUGACGCGCAGCGGUAAAAGAGAACGAAAGCUUAUUAAGACACUGCAUUGGUUGAUGUGGGAAGUCGAGCGAGUAGGAGGGGUAAAAGCCAGGCUCUUAAGUCCGAAUACCUGCCAGCAACUGAGCCACAGC